GGGUAGCACAGAAGAGCUUGCUCUCGGGGUGACGAGUGGCGGACGGGUGAGUAAUGUCUGGGAAACUGCCUGAUGGAGGGGGAUAACUACUGGAAACGGUAGCUAAUACCGCAUAAUGUCGCAAGACCAAAGAGGGGGACCUUCGGGCCUCUUGCCAUCAGAUGUGCCCAGAUGGGAUUAGCUAGUAGGUGGGGUAACGGCUCACCUAGGCGACGAUCCCUAGCUGGUCUGAGAGGAUGACCAGCCACACUGGAACUGAGACACGGUCCAGACUCCUACGGGAGGCAGCAGUGGGGAAUAUUGCACAAUGGGCGCAAGCCUGAUGCAGCCAUGCCGCGUGUAUGAAGAAGGCCUUCGGGUUGUAAAGUACUUUCAGCGGGGAGGAAGGUGUUGUGGUUAAUAACCACAGCAAUUGACGUUACCCGCAGAAGAAGCACCGGCUAACUCCGUGCCAGCAGCCGCGGUAAUACGGAGGGUGCAAGCGUUAAUCGGAAUUACUGGGCGUAAAGCGCACGCAGGCGGUCUGUCAAGUCGGAUGUGAAAUCCCCGGGCUCAACCUGGGAACUGCAUUCGAAACUGGCAGGCUGGAGUCUUGUAGAGGGGGGUAGAAUUCCAGGUGUAGCGGUGAAAUGCGUAUAGAUCUGGAGGAAUACCGGUGGCAAAGGCGG
rnacentral:rRNA from 1 species